UACGGAGGGGGCAAGCGUUAUUCGGAAUUAUUGGGCGUAAAGCGCGCGCAGGCGGUUUCUCAAGUCAGUGGUGAAAGCCCGGAGCUCAACUCCGGAACUGCCAUUGAAACUGUGAAACUUGAGGACGAGAGAGGUGAGUGGAAUUCCCAGUGUAGAGGUGAAAUUCGUAGAUAUUGGGAAGAACACCGGUGGCGAGGGCGGCUCACUGGCUCGUUUCUGACGCUCAGGCGCGACAGCGUGGGGAUCAAACAGG
rnacentral:rRNA from 1 species